GACGGGGGGGGCAAGUGUUCUUCGGAAUGACUGGGCGUAAAGAGCACGUAGGCGGUGAAUCGGGUUGAAAGUGAAAGUCGCCAAAAAAGUGGCGGAAUGCUCUCGAAACCAAUUCACUUGAGUGAGACAGAGGAGAGUGGAAUUUCGUGUGUAGGGGUGAAAUCCGUAGAUCUACGAAGGAACGCCAAAAGCGAAGGCAGCUCUCUGGGUCCCUACCGACGCUGGGGUGCGAAAGCAUGGGGAGCGAACAGG
rnacentral:rRNA from 1 species